AUGGGCGAGUUCGACGAUUACUGGGCGCGGGCGUACAGGGGCGACCCCGCGGUGCCGCACUCCGACCCGCAGCGGCUCAUCUCCACCUGGACCGGCGCCUUCGCCCUCGGCGCCGCCGCCUGCGUCCACCACCACGUCACCGGCCUCGCCUCCAACCUCAAGUCCCUCCCCCACAGUUCCAUAACCUUCACCGCUUGGGCCACAGUUGGAAGAGCUUUCUACCUGGCUGUUGGGCAUGGCAGAGGAAGUUCUGCAUCAGUUUGGUUUCGUGGAUAG
rnacentral:rRNA from 1 species